rnacentral:ribozyme from 1 species
CUCUUCCUCUUCCUCUUCCUCAUCUUUAGAAGCAAAGAAUCGUUUUUGGCAAUUAUUUCUGGAGCAAUACCCUGGAAAUGUUUGGA